CAAUAAAGUUUUAUUUGUCUCACAGAUGCUCUAGUCUGAGGAAUCAAAAAAGCAUAUAUCCAUCUAAAGGUGAGCUGUCGAUUUUCUUGUUGGAAUGUGGAUAUUCUAAUAAAAAAAGAAGCUGAAUAUUUCCUGAUUUUUAAAGAUGGCAACUAAUUUAAAACAGUAACACACUGUGUAGGCCAACACAAAAUGUAUUAGUAGGCCGGUUUCAACCCUGGGGCCACCACCUUGCAACGUCUGAAAUGAAGUAUUCACCAGCAACCCACAGGAAGGCUUGCUUUGGCUAAUCUAUGGUCAAGACAGAAACAAAUUUCAACACCGUGAAAACUGGGACUCAUUGGAGAUGGCAUAGAGGCAGAAAAGACUGAGCGAGUUGUGGAAAAGGCUGAGCAGGAAGAGGAAGCAGAAGAAUGGUAGAAGGAUGUUCAGUGAGAUGUUGCCAUGCAAGGGCAAGGUUAUUAGAGCUGCUGCAGCCAUCUUGUGACAAUAAAAGAGAACCAAGAGGAUUUCAGAAAUACCAUCCCACAUCCUGACAUUAUGUAGCUUCUGAACCAUCUAUCUCCAUGGAUCUUGCUAUGUGAGGGAAUGACUGGAAUCCUGAAACCUGAUUCUGCUCUGCUGUGGAAAGAAUGAGCACCUCAUAUAUACCAUCCUCACAUCUUGGGCAGCGGGUUGCUAAAAACCAUAGCUGUGUGCCAUGU